rnacentral:rRNA from 1 species
AUCAACGCUGGCGGCGUGCCUAACACAUGCAAGUCGCACGAGAAAGGGGCUUCGGCCCUGAGUAAAGUGGCGCACGGGUGAGUAACACGUGAAUCAUCUACCUCCGAGUGGGGAAUAACCUAGAGAAAUCUGGGCUAAUACCGCAUAACACUUACGAGUCAAAGCAGAAAUGCGCUUGGAGAGGAGUUCGCGGCAGAUUAGCUAGUUGGCGGGGUAAUGGCCCACCAAGGCGAUGAUCUGUAUCCGGCCUGAGAGGGCGCACGGACACACUGGAACUGAAACACGGUCCAGACUCCUACGGGAGGCAGCAGUGGGGAAUUUUGCGCAAUGGGGGAAACCCUGACGCAGCAACGCCGCGUGGAGGAUGAAGCCCCUUGGGGUGUAAACUCCUUUCGAUCGGGAAGAUAAUGACGGUACCGAUAUAAGAAGCCCCGGCUAACUUCGU